rnacentral:rRNA from 1 species
AAAUUGAAGAGUUUGAUCAUGGCUCAGAUUGAACGCUGGCGGCAGGCCUAACACAUGCAAGUCGAACGGUAACAGGAAGCAGCUUGCUGCUUCGCUGACGAGUGGCGGACGGGUGAGUAAUGUCUGGGAAACUGCCUGAUGGAGGGGGAUAACUACUGGAAACGGUGGCUAAUACCGCAUAACGUCGCAAGACCAAAGAGGGGGACCUUCGGGCCUCUUGCCAUCAGAUGUGCCCAGAUGGGAUUAGCUUGUUGGUGAGGUAACGGCUCACCAAGGCGACGAUCCCUAGCUGGUCUGAGAGGAUGACCAGCCACACUGGAACUGAGACACGGUCCAGACUCCUACGGGAGGCAGCAGUGGGGAAUAUUGCACAAUGGGCGCAAGCCUGAUGCAGCCAUGCCGCGUGUAUGAAGAAGGCCUUCGGGUUGUAAAGUACUUUCAGCGGGGAGGAAGGUGUUGUGGUUAAUAACCGCAGCAAUUGACGUUACCCGCAGAAGAAGCACCGGCUAACUCCGUGCCAGCAGCCGCGGUAAUAC